rnacentral:rRNA from 1 species
GAUGAACGCUGGCGGCGUGCCUAAUACAUGCAAGUCGAGCGAACAGACCCGGAUCUUGCUCCUCUGACGUUAGCGGCGCACGGGUGUGUCACACGAGGAUACCCCCCCUAUAAGACUGGGAUAAUUUCGGGAAACCGGCGCUAAUACCGGAUAAUAUCUUGAACCGUAUUGUUCAAUAGUGAAUUACGGCUUUGCUGUCACUUAUCGAUGGACCCGCGCCGCAUUAGCUAGUGGGUAAGGUAACGGCUUACCAAGGCAACGAUGCGUAGCCGACCUGAUAGAGUGAUAGGCCACAUUAGAGGUGAGACACGGUCCAGACUACUACGGGAGGGAGCAGUAGGGAAUCUGCCGCAAUGGGCGAGAGCAUGACGGAGCAAGGGGACGUGAGUGGUGGAGACCUUGGGAGCGUAAAACUCUGUUACUAGGGAAGAACAAAUGUGUAAGUAGCUGUGCACGGCUUGACGGUACCGAAUCAGAAAGCCACGGCUAACUACGUG